GAUGAACGCUAGCGGCAGGCCUAACACAUGCAAGUCGAGGGGCAGCAUAAAACAAGCUUGCUUGUUUGGUGGCGACCGGCGCACGGGUGCGUAACGCGUAUGCAACCUACCCUGUACUGGGGGAUAGCCCGGAGAAAUUCGGAUUAAGACCCCAUAGUAUAUAUCAUUCGCAUGUUUGGUAUAUUAAAGGUUACGGUACAGGAUGGGUAUGCGUCCUAUUAGCUAGAUGGUGAGGUAACGGCUCACCAUGGCGACGAUAGGUAGGGGGCCUGAGAGGGUGGUCCCCCACACUGGUACUGAGACACGGACCAGACUCCUACGGGAGGCAGCAGUGAGGAAUAUUGGUCAAUGGGCGCAAGCCUGAACCAGCCAUGCCGCGUGCAGGAAGAAGGUCCUAUGGAUUGUAAACUGCUUUUAUUUGGGAAUAAACCUCUUUACGUGUAGAGAGCUGAAGGUACCAAAUGAAUAAGCACCGGCUAACUCCGUGCCAGCAGCCGCGGUAACAC
rnacentral:rRNA from 1 species